rnacentral:rRNA from 1 species
UACGAAGGGUGCAAGCGUUACUCGGAAUUACUGGGCGUAAAGCGUGCGUAGGUGGUUCGUUAAGUCUGAUGUGAAAGCCCUGGGCUCAACCUGGGAAUUGCAUUGGAUACUGGCGGGCUAGAGUGCGGUAGAGGAUGGCGGAAUUCCCGGUGUAGCAGUGAAAUGCGUAGAGAUCGGGAGGAACAUCCGUGGCGAAGGCGGCCAUCUGGACCAGCACUGACACUGAGGCACGAAAGCGUGGGGAGCAAACAGGAUUAGAAACCCUCGUAGUCC